rnacentral:tRNA from 1 species
GCCGGGGUGGCCGAGUGGACCAAGGCGCCGGCCUUGAGAGCCGGUACCCCUAUGGGUGCCCGGGUUCGAAUCCCGGCCCCGGCG